rnacentral:rRNA from 1 species
UUUUGCGCAAUGGGGGAAACCCUGACGCAGCAACGCCGCGUGCGGGACGAAGGCCCUCGGGUUGUAAACCGCUUUCAGCAGGGAAGACANAAGACGGUACCUGCAGAAGAAGCUCCGGCUAACUACGUGCCAGCAGCCGCGGUAAUACGUAGGGGGGCGAGCGUUAUCCGGAUUCAUUGGGCGUAAAGCGCGCGUAGGCGGCCGCCUAAGCGGGACCUCUAACCCCGGGGCUCAACCCCGGGCCGGGUCCCGGACUGGGCGGCUCGAGUGCGGUAGAGGAGAGCGGAAUUCCCGGUGUAGCGGUGGAAUGCGCAGAUAUCGGGAAGAACACCGAUGGCGAAGGCAGCUCUCUGGGCCGUCACUGACGCUGAGGCGCGAAAGCUGGGGGAGCGAACAGG